GCAGGGAAAAACAGGAAAUGCCUGUGCACUGUUCUCACUGCCUCUGACUAGCUCCCUCUCUCUCACUCUCUCUUUCUUUCUCUCCUCUUCUUCUCUCUCCUCCCUCCAGUCACACUUCUCCCCACAUAUGACUCAUCGGCUGUUUCGCGCACCUAACCCCACCAUCCACAGACUCUGAACCAGGGAGGCAGAUGGAACUUCCUCUCAUUAUAAGCGUGCCUAGAAAAAUGUUCGAGCAGACACGCAAGAAUGCCAGGUUAUCACCGCGCUUCCAAAACCCGAUGCUCAGUUGUUCCAUUCGACAGUGAUGGAGGAUUUCUGGAAUGCUGUAAAUUGCCUCUAGCUCCUUUACACUUCAAAAACUAGAGCUGGACCGUAGGGGUGCUGCUGCCACUUCGGGGAGUUGGUCCGAACAGACCGGUGGUACCCAAAAGGAUGGGUCUGACACCAGGCAAACUCCGCAUCUGAUACUGGCGCAAGGUCCUCCGUGUGGGAAUGCCGCUGCCUACGCAUCCCGUGGUUGGGAGGGAGUUGGACUGACCGUAACGACUGCUGAAAUGAAAGAAAAAAAUACAAAAAUCAGACAGUGUCAUGAUGCUAUUAUAAAAAAAGAAAGCAACUUUAACACUUGUACAAAUUUGAAUCAAAUGUAUUUUGAUUAAUAAAUUAUAUAAAUUAAAUAAAUCUUAUUUAUAUAUUGAAAUAUAGUACAGUAUAAUAUACAUGGAGAAUAAAUUACAUAAUUUUUAUACAUAAUUAUUUUAUAAUGUGAUUAAUUAUAUACAGCGGGUAAAAUAAGUAUUAUUCAUCAUUUUUCUCAGAAAAUCUAUUUCUAAAGGUGCUGUUGACUUGCAAUUUUCACCAGAUGUUGGUAACAACCCAAGUAAUCCAUUCAUGCAAAGAAAAAUAAAAACAAACAAGUUCAGAAAUUAAGUUCUGUGUAAUAAACUGGAAUGACACAGGAAAAAAGUACUGAACACAUGAAGAAAGGGAGGUGCAAAAAGGCAUGGAAGACCAUGACACAAGCUGAAAUCUAUCAGUAAUUCGAAAGCAAUCCUGCCCCUUGUGAGGGGAAAAUAAUAUUAGCUGGAUCAGUCCAAAUACCUACAGUACCAGGAUGAGGAAGAUGACACACGGGUGGAGAUUUCAGCAAGACAAUGAACCCAAUCACAGCCAAGGAAACUCUCAAUUGGUUUCAGAGAAAGAAAAUUAAGCUGCUAGAAUGGCUCAGCCAAUCACCUGACUUGAAUCCAAUAGAAAAUAAGAAGUUUCAUGUCAUCAGCACCUUUAAAUAUUUACUAAGACAAAUGAUGACGUAUUCAGUACUUAGUUUACCUGCUGUGUGUGUGUGUGUGUGUGCAUAUAUGCACACACACAAACACAUACAAACAUAUAGUUUACAGCCAUAAUAUCUAACAGACUCAUGGUUUUUUGGUAUGAUUGAGUCUAUGAAGGAGGGCAUUUUUGUAUUUACUUUGACAAUGGGGGAAUUUAAAGUUAAAAAGUUUGCGGAAAAGAACCACUGAUGUAGAAGUCCAUAAUGCCUCAUACUGAACCAUAAAAUAGGAGAUUCUUGUUGAGUGCCAUAUGCUCUAUUUUCGGGCGGUGAUGUAAUCCAGUAGGGAGUGACGGCAAACCGUGACUCAUGGUCCUAAACACAUCUGUGUGGUCUGUGGUUUUUGAUCAUCAUUAAAGUAUUAGUCCAAUAAAUAAAAACACAGAUGGCAAUAAUUCUGCACUGAAUCAAUCAACGUAUCUGACAGAGUAAACCUCAAAAUGACUGUUCUGGGCUAAUGUCCGUUCACAGCAUGACGUAAUUCGCUAAACUAAAGCAACAAACCAGGUUUUGUCGGGAAACACUGCUCUGCUAAUCAGAUGACAGCUGUCAUAGCAAAUUACUUCCACUUAAUUUUACUUAAUCAUUUAGAAAUAUAUGAACAAUAACAUAGAGUCAAAUGCCAUUUUUACAAUAGCAAUUUAUUUUGAAAUAAUGUUUAUCUGACUGCACAUUAUACAACUCAAUGCACAUCUAAGUACCAAACUAAAUUGAUGAAAUACUGUACAUUUUUAGCUGAAUAUAGAGUUAUAGAUUUCUGGUCUUCACACAAAGUACAAAUAUUGACCAAUCAAAAUCAAGUACUCCAGAAUGUCAUAUAGUAAUUUGAAGAAUUAGAGUUUGUUUGAGUUUUCCUAAUUUCAUAAAAAUGGAUAAUUUCAUAAUCAUGUUUUAAAAGUUCUCCAUAAUAUCUCAGGUAGGUAUUUAAACAUCAAUAAAUGCACUAGAUUUUCACAAGCUAAAAUAAUGUGAUGGAUGUAAAAGCACCAUUUUUUUAUUUUUUUUAUUUUUAAUUCAUGUUUUCAAAAUGUUUUGGUUGAUGUCAAACUAACCACAAAUAGAAUCUAAUGGAUAACAAUGGAUUUUUUUUAAAUAGUUUUUUUUAUAGGUUAAACGGGGUUAACGCUUCAAUAAUAUUGACCCAAAAAUAUUAUGUAAAUUUGGAAUUUCAUUUAUAGCCUCAUCAUGGGAUAACCUCGACAGAAUUGAAACAGAAUUAGGAGGUUAAAUUGUGCUUUGGUUCUAACCAUGACCUCCAGAAUUCAUUUUACCUCCUCCUCUGUCCUGUUAGGUCCAGGAGAGUUCUCCGUGAAAUUGAGCGGAACUGCACCUGCACCUGCUGCUUCCAAGACAACAACCUCUUCUUCUGCGUCUCUGUGAAGGCCUGUGACAUCACAACGCAACAAAUCGUAUCAAAACACCGACCUGAGCUUCCAGCUGCUGCUCCGUCAGUGACAUCAUCUCAUCAAAGGUCAUGGUGGAGAAGAGCCCAGCGUACUUAUGGAGGCGCAGACUCUUCAGCCAUGCCGGCACAUCUGAGAGUGACAUCACAUUGUUUCAGAUGAAAAGCAAUGCAGGAUCAUUUUUCUCGUAAGUGACCUAGUUUUUAAAGCCCUGGGCUCAUCAUUACUAAUUAGACCAAUUCAUUAUUUUCAAGAUCUGUUUAGUCUACAAGAACACUUCUGUGGCUCACCCCUCAUCCCGCUGCCCUCCUCAUGG